GUCACGAUUAGAAUCAAAAUGGUAGUUCACUGGGUCUGUCUUUAGCUCCCAGAGGUGCUGGUUCGAAUCCGGCUCGUGACA
rnacentral:tRNA from 1 species